CCCCUGAAGUUACUUUGAUAUUGACAUAGUCACUGCAGGUUUUAAAAAUUUUUGUUUGCAUGGCAUAGCUUUUCCUGUCCUUUUGACUUAUUGGUGUCCAUAUCUAAAGUGCAUUUCUCAUGAGCAGUUUAGCGUUGGGUUUUGCUGUCCUACCCUCCCUGGCAAUCUCUGCUCUUAACUGGGGCUGUCUGACCACUUGCUCCGGUGUGGCUGUGGCUGCGUGGAGGCCACGCCUGCUGUCCUGCUCUGUUCCCAUUGGUCUCAGUGUGCAGUUGCCACGCCCACCUUCCUGUUCUCUGCUCCCUUUGGUCUCACUAUGCAGAGGCCACGCCUGCCAUCCUGUUCUCUGCUCCCAUUGGUCUCACUGUGUAGAGGCCACGCCCGCCGUCCUGCUCUCUGCUCCCGCUGCUGUCACCGGCUCUCCCUUUCCCAUUUCCUCUUCCUUCCUUGGAUUCUGUUUGAUGAUCCUGUUUGAUUGCAGUUGUUGGCUUAUGAGCCAGAAUUUUGUUUUGUUGUUUUAGUGGUUGCUUCAGGGUUCACAGUAAACAUCUUUAACUCACACGGUGAACCUUUUUGAGUGGGGCUGCACCUCCACCAGGGCAGAUGCUCCGCAGCGCACGUCACCCACCCUCUCCCCGCCGGGGCCAUCGCCGCAGGGCGGUUCCCUGGUGACUGCACUCCGCGCGGGUGCCAUUGAUGUUCAAAGCAGACUCUUCAUAGCUGCUCAGGUGUCCACAAACGAUCGACAGAUAAGCCCAGCGUGGCCCUCCACACCAGGGAACAGGAUUCCACCAGGAAAAGAAUGAGGCCCGCACGGCUGCAGGGGGUGGAGAGCGUUUGGAACCAGACGGGAGUGAGGGUCACUCAACAUCGCAAAUGGACUAAAUGCUACCGAAUUGUACGCUUUAAAACGGUUCAUUUUAUGUGAUGUGAAUUUCAGCUCAAUAAAGAAAAAAGAUUUAAAAUGUGUCUUGAGGAGCCACGAG
rnacentral:lncRNA from 10 species